rnacentral:rRNA from 1 species
CAGUAGCCGCGGUAAUACGUAGGUGGCAAGCGUUGUCCGGAAUUAUUGGGCGUAAAGGGCUCGCAGGCGGUUUCUUAAGUCUGAUGUGAAAGCCCCCGGCUCAACCGGGGAGGGUCAUUGGAAACUGGGAAACUUGAGUGCAGAAGAGGAGAGUGGAAUUCCACGUGUAGCGGUGAAAUGCGUAGAGAUGUGGAGGAACACCAGUGGCGAAGGCGGCUCUCUGGUCUGUAACUGACGCUGAGGAGCGAAAGCGUGGGGAGCGAACAGGAUUAGAUACCCCGGUAGUCCCUGUCUCUUAUAC